CAUCACUUAUCACAGACACAUGUGCUUCUUCAUUAGAUGACUUGUUCCAUGAAACAAAGAGAAAUACUCCAUUUCAUGGAUUAUAACGUCACUGGUAUAUAACCUCUCUUUCUAAUGCUUUCUGUGAAAUCUCCUAUUCAACAUUUUCCUCAUUCUAUUCUGAUUUUUCUAGCUCAGGAAGAACCUGUCCAAACAAAAGUCCAGUCUUGUCAAUGCAAAGUAGAUGGUCUCUCUGAAGUUGUGGCUGCUUGUAAGGAGGUGCAGACCCGGUAUUUCAGGACCUCAACACACCAGAAAUAUCCUUUAAUAAUGUUUUCAAGUUUAUAAAUAGCGAACACAAACCCUGCUCCACACUUCUACUUCAAUCCAGACAACAGGUUGGUGAGAGUGGCUGCAGUCUUCCCACUUCAGACAGUGCACAGGCUGGGGAGAACUUGCAGUGAAGGGAAUUGCCUGAACGUCCAUUUGAAGACAGAAGAUGUGAGAGGAGUCCUCUUUCUGGUUUUCUUACUCUUGUCUCUAUCCAGGUUGUGCCAGGAUUUUGUCCUUGAGACUUUUUGAUAUACAGAACUGGCUGACAUGAGAAUGGUCCCGUUCCAUGUGGUGAUCAUCCUGCACAUAAAGUCUUUCAGUGCAGAAUUUGUUCAAGCUUCCAACUUAUAUCGUGUAGAAAAAUGUCAGGUAAGUGAAGAGAUGAAAGUGAACACAUCUUGACUAAGGUGUUAAUUAGUUUGAAGAAAAAAUUACUAGUAGCAUGCCGACAGCAUGUGGGUGGUUUCAAUGAUAGCUGACAGCUUCUCUGGGAAUAUUCCCCUUUUUCCCUUCUAAAAGAUGGCCCCAAAUAUCCAUUUUUGGAAGGGUAUGGGUUUGUGAAUAUUGCAUCUGUGGUUUCUAGAGAAAUUAGUUUAAGGAAAUGUAGUAAUAUUAUAGUAUUUAAAUUCCUUGCUUGUUGUAAAAAAUCUUCGUAAUUGGUGCUAUUAUAUAAACAGGCCUGUGAGAUUAUUUGAGAACAUCUAUUUCUUUCAUUGAUCUCUUAGCAGAGGAAUAAAAUCUUGCAAACCAUCAGUCUCCACACCUUGAAAAUGCAGCUCUUCUACAUGAUUCUUGUACCCCACUCGUUAAUAAAAUAUCAGAGUGCCUUCUACUCAUAUUAAGUGACAAGAUUAACAUCUAUCAGCUGCAGUUCUUUCUCUUUUUCCCCUUGACGUUAAUGUUUCUUUAAAAUAGUUUAAUUGAGAUCAAUGGGAAUAGUUGCAGAAUGAGGUGCAAUUCAAUGUGAUGUGAGAAUUGGGGUUGAUAUAAUAGGGGAUAAGUGGGAUAAAAUGAGAACAAGUGACUUCUUUGCCCAUCUGUGCACUAGAGAGCAAAAAAGAUGGAUUCUGUAUUCCCCUCACUUCUCUCUCUUCUGCAGCCACUAAUCAAGCUGUGUAAAAGCAAACACAAUGGAAGCAAGUUGCAUCUGAUGGCAGUAAUGCAGUAUGGGAUCCUUACCCUGCAGCCUGGCUUCUGUUCAACACACCAUUUAGCCAUAGUGGGAGACCGGCAAGACCUGUGUUUUUCAUGUACUUAGAAAAAAAAAGAACAAAGACCCUGAUGUUAUAUUGUUUAGGUUUUCCAGUAUUCCUGGAGUGGAGGUCUGUGCUCCAUACAAGCACUGGCUGGGAUGGUAUUCAACCAUAUGCUUAGUCUUUUGUGCUGUGGAUAUAUUUUUCUAUGUUUACUUAUUCAUAGAUGAAAAGAGUGGAUCAAAACAGGCACAGAAUGUCGUGCAGCAUGGCAAGGAGUCUGAAGUAAGGCGCUACUACAGGCAGGCAGGGUGGAAUUUCAUCCUCGUCACUGAAGUUCAACACGAAGCACUACCCCGGUGUCAGAAAGGUAAGUGAAAGCUGCUUUCAUUUAGGUCUCAGGCAGAGAAGUCCGGAUGGGGCCAGGACCACGGCCCAGCGAGGGGCAGGAGGAGCAGCUCCACAGCCCAGCUGUACCCAGAGCAAAGCCUGCAGCCUGACCACCGGCGGGGGAACCUCGGCCAUGUUAGCAGGUCUACAGUACCGCCUACAAAAAGGAUGUCAGCUCUUGAUGUCUAAGACAACUGCUAAAAUAAUAUUUAAUACUGAGCUACAUAGAUAUAAAGACACUGGAAAUCAUUUUACGUGUAGAUCUUCAUCCUCCCUCUUGACAAGUGAAUAUGUAAUUUCCCUGGCUGAAUUCUCCCACACCAUGUGCACGGAAAUGCCUGUAUGUCCAGGGAUUUCUGUAGACAGCUAGGAAAAGCAAGUGUGAAAGACUGAUAAAAUUCAUUCCCUUCUUUCCAAUAACUUUCUCAAAUUCUUCUCAGCAAUCGUACACUUUUAAAAUUGCAAUUGUCACACUGUUUUCAAAUAAUACUAUUCAAAUGCUAAAACAUUCUGUCAACAAUUUUAUUUCCAUUUCUUUUCUCUUUGCUACAUUAUGCCCUGAAAAUGUAUCUCUGUCUUCGUGUCCCUUUUUCUAUUCUUCUUCAACUUUAAAUUAAUUCAAAAACAUAUCAGUAGAGAGGAGAAUCUUAAAAUAACAGGGCUUCACAUGUGUUGUAUAAUGUCCCACUUAUCUCUCAUCUGGUAUUCUUCACUGAGGCUUUAGCAUCUAGAUUGUAAAGAAAUCAAAGUGUCACCUGACUUCUACGACUGCUGAGCACCAGCCUCAGAGUAACAAUCUUUGAUUCUCCUUAAAUUCAAUUGCAUUUGGGUAGUUUAACUGAUACAACACUUGUACUUUGCUUGCGGCACCUGUUUUGAAUAGUGUCUCAUACAUUUUGAUAUAGUCAUCUAUACUAUUUUGAAACAAAAAUCUGAAGUGAAACACUUAAAACAUUUCAAUGUUACAGAGGCAUUUAGCUAUAGACCUGAGUAAUAAAGAGAAUAAAACAAAAAAUACAAAUUAAUCUUGCUCCUCUAAGCCCUGAUGAUCAGUUCCUUGCAUUUAGGCAAAUGAAACUCCUAUUGAACUUGGAGGUACAUGAUUGUUGGGUGGACGUGUCGUAAGUGAUAGAAGGCAUAAAAACCUAGGGAGGCAAGUGGGCCUACGGAAUGAUUCCUGCUCAGUCUUUCAACAGUUAAAAAUGGUAUUCUUUAACAGUCAUUUGAAGUAAUAAUAGCCCACCUGAGUGGGCUCUGUCAAAUUAAUAUGUUGUCUAAAUGUGAGCCAUUGUGUUUUACUCAUGAUCUGUGAAGAAUUAUAUCAUUGAGUGUGUAGAUCAGCUCUGUUGCCUAGAAGUCUGCUUGAAGUUCAAAACUCACCUUUUCUGAAAUGUUUUUAAUUCAAUAUAAUGUCUUAGUCCAUCUACUUGAAAUUUGAAUAAAUGAGCUUCUUAAACACCUA